rnacentral:rRNA from 1 species
GCUCAGCCCUAAACUUAGAUAGCAAAAUACUACCUAUCCGCCAGAGAACUACAAGCAAAAUACUUAAAACUCAAAGGACUUGGCGGCAUUCCAUAUCAACCUAGAGGAGCCCGUCCAAUAAUCGAUAAUACACGCUCAACCCAACCAUUUUUGGCCACUCCAGCCUAUAUACCGCCGUCGUCAGCUAACCUUGUGAAAGAAAAGUAGUAAGCACAACAGCCCUCACUAAAACGUCAGGUCAAGGUGUAGCUAAUAAAAUGGAUGUGAUAGGCUACAUUUUCUAUUAUAGAAAAGACGGAAAAUACAAUGAAACUUUGUAAUAGAAGGUGAAUUUAGAAGUAAACUAAGAAAGGAUUCUUAUUUUAACAUCGCCCUGGAAUGCGCACACACCGCCCGUCACCCUCCUCAAUAACCAGAUGAGGCAAG